rnacentral:rRNA from 1 species
AACGAACGCUGGCGGCAGGCUUAACACAUGCAAGUCGAACGCACCGCAAGGUGAGUGGCCGACGGGUGAGUAACGCGUGGGAACCUUCCCUUUGGUACGGAAUAACUUCGGGAACCCGAAGCUAAUACCGUAUAUCUCCUGCGGGAGAAAGAUUUAUCGCCAAAGGAUGGGCCCGCGUUGGAUUAGCUAGUUGGUGGGGUAAGGGCGCACCAAGGCGACGAUCCAUAGCUGGUCUGAGAGGAUGAUCAGCCACACUGGGACUGAGACACGGCCCAGACUCCUACGGGAGGCAGCAGUGGGGAAUAUUGGACAAUGGGGGCAACCCUGAGCCAGCCAUGCCGCGUGAGUGAAGAAGGCCUUAGGGUUGUAAAGCUCUUUUGGCGGGGACGAUAAUGACGGUACCCGCAGAAUAAGCCCCGGCUAACUUCGUGACAGCAGCCGCCGUAA